rnacentral:rRNA from 1 species
GGAAGUAAAAGUCGUAACAAGGUUUCCGUAGGUGAACCUGCGGAAGGAUCAUUCACACAUCCAAUUACCAUAACGUGAACCAGUCUGUUUCCUUUCCAAAGGAGAUAGGCUACAAACAUAUGUUGGGUUACUUAUACAAGAUUACCUAAGCUUUAUUAACUAUCAGCGAUGGAUGUCUUGGCUCCCACAACGAUGAAGGCCGCAGCAAAAUGUGAUAAUCAUUGUGAAUUGCAGACUUCUUAGAAUCAAUAGAACGCUGAACGCAUACGGCACUGUACUUGUACAGUAGGUCUGUUUCAGAGUCACUUUCGAUCUUCCCCACCCCUCCCUGCAAAGGAAGGCGGCGGAGAAGGCAAGGUACUGCUCGGCAUCUUUCAUUAGCUUUGCCUGGCAGUCGCAUUGUUCUAUGGCUACUCGUUUCAAACACAUUCGAUUCAUUCGUAUUGAUUGUUGGACGCGAGUGCUGAAGCUAUAGCAUACAACUCAUAUGACCUGAAAUCAGACCAGGCUACCCGCUGAAUUUAAGCAUAUUAGUCAGCGGAGGAAAGGGCGAUCC